rnacentral:rRNA from 1 species
UACGAAGGGGGCUAGCGUUGCUCGGAAUCACUGGGCGUAAAGGGUGCGUAGGCGGGGUUUUAAGUCAGGGGUGAAAUCCUGGAGCUCAACUCCAGAACUGCCUUUGAUACUGGCGACCUUGAGUCCGGGAGAGGUGAGUGGAACUGCGAGUGUAGAGGUGAAAUUCGUAGAUAUUCGCAAGAACACCAGUGGCGAAGGCGGCUCACUGGCCCGGUACUGACGCUGAGGUGCGAAAGUGUGGGGAGCAAACAGG